UUCGGGAUGCUGACGAGUGGCGGACGGGUGAGUAACACGUGGAUACCUAUCUUGAGGUGGGGGACAACAGUUGGAAACGACUGCUAAUACCGCAUAUCUCCUACGGGAGAAAGGCUUAGGUCGCCUUGAGCGGGGUCCGCGUCAGAUUAGCUAGUUGGUGGGGUAAAGGCCUACCAAGGCGACGAUCUGUAGCUGGUCUGAGAGGAUGAUCAGCCACACUGGGACUGAGACACGGCCCAGACUCCUACGGGAGGCAGCAGUGGGGAAUAUUGCGCAAUGGGGGAAACCCUGACGCAGCGAUACCGUGUGGGUGAAGAAGGUCUUCGGAUUGUAAAGCCCUUUUAGUAGGGAAGAUUGUGACGGUACCUACAGAAAAAGCUCCGGCUAACUCCGUGCCAGCAGCCGCGGUAAUACGGAGGGGGCAAGCGUUGUUCGGAAUCACUGGGCGUAAAGGGCGCGCAGGCGGUUUUGCAAG
rnacentral:rRNA from 1 species